rnacentral:rRNA from 1 species
GAUGAACGCUGGCGGCGUGCCUAAUACAUGCAAGUCGAGCGAACGGACGAGAAGCUUGCUUCUCUGAUGUUAGCGGCGGACGGGUGAGUAACACGUGGAUAACCUACCUAUAAGACUGGGAUAACUUCGGGAAACCGGAGCUAAUACCGGAUAAUAUUUUGAACCGCAUGGUUCAAAAGUGAAAGACGGUUUUGCUGUCACUUAUAGAUGGAUCCGCGCUGCAUUAGCUAGUUGGUAAGGUAACGGCUUACCAAGGCAACGAUGCAUAGCCGACCUGAGAGGGUGAUCGGCCACACUGGAACUGAGACACGGUCCAGACUCCUACGGGAGGCAGCAGUAGGGAAUCUUCCGCAAUGGGCGAAAGCCUGACGGAACAACGCCGCGUGAGUGAUGAAGGUCUUCGGAUCGUAAAACUCUGUUAUUAGGGAAGAACAUAUGUGUAAGUAACUGUGCACAUCUUGACGGUACCUAAUCAGAAAGCCACGGCUAACUACGUG